UCCGUAGGGUGCAAGCGUUAAUCGGAAUUACUGGGCGUAAAGCGUGCGCAGGCGGUUAUGCAAGACAGAUGUGAAAUCCCCGGGCUUAACCUGGGAACUGCAUUUGUGACUGCAUAGCUGGAGUGCGGCAGAGGGGGAUGGAAUUCCGCGUGUAGCAGUGAAAUGCGUAGAUAUGCGGAGGAACACCGAUGGCGAAGGCAAUCCCCUGGGCCUGCACUGACGCUCAUGCACGAAAGCGUGGGGAGCAAACAGG
rnacentral:rRNA from 1 species